rnacentral:tRNA from 1 species
GCGCUCGUAGCUCAGCUGGAUAGAGCAUCCGCCUUCUAAGCGGACGGUCGCGCGUUCGACUCGCGCCGAGCGCACCA